rnacentral:rRNA from 1 species
CCUACGGGAGGCAGCAGUGGGGAAUAUUGGACAAUGGGGGGAACCCUGAUCCAGCCAUGCCGCGUGUGUGAAGAAGGCCCUCGGGUUGUAAAGCACUUUCAGUGAGGAAGAACGCCUGGUGGUUAAUACCCAUCAGGAAAGACAUCACUCACAGAAGAAGCACCGGCUAACUCCGUGCCAGCAGCCGCGGUAAUACGGAGGGUGCGAGCGUUAAUCGGAAUUACUGGGCGUAAAGCGCGCGUAGGUGGCUUGAUAAGCCGGUUGUGAAAGCCCCGGGCUCAACCUGGGAACGGCAUCCGGAACUGUCAAGCUAGAGUGCAGGAGAGGAAGGUAGAAGUCCCGGUGUAGCGGUGAAAUGCGUAGAGAUCGGGAGGAAUACCAGUGGCGAAGGCGGCCUUCUGGACUGACACUGACACUGAGGUGCGAAAGCGUGGGUAGCAAACAGGAUUAGAUACCCGUGUAGUC